GGGGGUUUAGCUCAGCUGGCUAGAGCGCGACGCUGGCAGCGUUGAGGUCGUCGGUUCGACUCCGAUAACCUCCA
rnacentral:tRNA from 1 species